GCGUUCCUAGGCCCGGGCUUCUGCUGGCCGCUCGCCUCUGCCUUGCUGUCCUGCGUUUCAUGCUUUCGUGUUUCAGACAGAAGAGCUGCCGGAACUGAUUCUCCGUGCAGGCGAUGAGGAGCACAAGGCUGAGUCACGGGACCAGGCUGCAGAAGGGAAGCUCGCUGUGGCCACACUGACUGGUCCCAGCUACGCAGAGCAACUACCCGCCCUUGCACUGACAACCAGCACCUCUCCAGACUGAGUGGCAGCUAUCCAGCUAAUCUAGAAAGGACACAUUUCCAAUUUCCUCUCUGCAGGGUAUUUCCCAGCAUCUGCAGCUGCUUUUAAGCUGACAUCUGGACAAAACACAGCAUCAGUUCUCUAACACUGGUAUGACCCAUGUAUUAAUUUAAGUAGCUGACUGCCUAUUGUUCAGGAAACAUCACCACUGAAAAUGAGCACCAGAUGCAUGAUGCACCAGUACCACCUUUAGGUAUGGAGCCUUUUAAAUAAACCUCAACUACAUAGUAUCUACAAGCUUCCUACUGUACACAAAGUAGCCUAAGAAUUUGAGUUUGGAUAUAAAAAUUGUCAUUGGUCUAAUAUAAAAGAUAAAUCUGCAAAGCCCUUCGUCACUUUUCUUUUCUAGGUACAGGCACUCCUGUACACAUCCUUGAGCUUACUCAGAGUGGUGUAUAACAUCCCUGAAAAGGUUCCAGUUAGAACUAAAAUUCUGGCUUCAAAUGCUUAUAUUUGAAGCAGCUUAACUGCAGUUAGGAAGUUUUUAUUAUUACAGCUGACAAGUCUGAGUUCAGCAUGCACCAAAAGCUGCCUUCUUCCUGAACUCAACUGUUCACUUAGUGCGCCAAAGGGACAAAAUGGAUGUAGGAUUUUACUUCUCUGACCUGUAAAGUAGGUUAUUAAAAUCUUAUUUAUUGA